UUAACACAUGCAAGUCGAGCGGUAAGGCCCUUCGGGGUACACGAGCGGCGAACGGGUGAGUAACACGUGGGUGAUCUGCCCUGCACUUCGGGAUAAGCCUGGGAAACUGGGUCUAAUACCGGAUAUGACCUCCGAUCGCAUGGUUGGUGGUGGAAAGAUUUAUCGGUGCAGGAUGGGCCCGCGGCCUAUCAGCUUGUUGGUGGGGUAAUGGCCUACCAAGGCGACGACGGGUAGCCGACCUGAGAGGGUGACCGGCCACACUGGGACUGAGACACGGCCCAGACUCCUACGGGAGGCAGCAGUGGGGAAUAUUGCACAAUGGGCGAAAGCCUGAUGCAGCGACGCCGCGUGAGGGACGACGGCCUUCGGGUUGUAAACCUCUUUCAGCAGGGACGAAGCGCAAGUGACGGUACCUGCAGAAGAAGCACCGGCUAACUACGUGCCAGCAGCCGCGGUAAUACGUAGGGUGCAAGCGUUGUCCGGAAUUACUGGGCGUAAAGAGUUCGUAGGCGGUUUGUCACGUCGUUUGUGAAAACUCACAGCUCAACUGUGAGCCUGCAGGCGAUACGGGCAGACUUGAGUACUGCAGGGGAGACUGGAAUUCCUGGUGUAGCGGUGAAAUGCGCAGAUAUCAGGAGGAACACCGGUGGCGAAGGCGGGUCUCUGGGCAGUAACUGACGCUGAGGAACGAAAGCGUGGGUAGCGAACAGGAUUAGAUACCCUGGUAGUCCACGCCGUAAACGGUGGGCGCUAGGUGUG
rnacentral:rRNA from 1 species